rnacentral:rRNA from 1 species
AGGAUUAACGCUGGCGGCGUGCAUGAAACAUGCAAGUCGAGCGCGGUGUGAUGCGGGGUAACCCAAUUCACAUCUAGCGGCGAACGGGUGAGUAACACGUGAGCAACCUACCUUUGAGUUGGGGAUAGCCCUGGGAAACCAGGAUUAAUACCCGAUGUGGUCACAACAGGACAUCCUGAUGUGAGUAAAGGCGUAAGCCGCUCAAUGACGGGCUCGCGGCCUAUUAGCUUGUUGGUGGGGUAACGGCCUACCAAGGCGAUGAUGGGUAGCUGGUCUGAGAGGACGAUCAGCCACACUGGGACUGAGACACGGCCCAGACUCCUACGGGAGGCAGCAGUUAGGAAUUUUCCGCAAUGGGCGAAAGCCUGACGGAGCAACGCCGCGUGAGUGAUGAAGACCUUCGGGUUGUAAAGCUCUGUCGGAGGGGAAGAACACAAUGACGGUACCCUCCAAGAAAGCCCCGGCUAACUACGUGCCAGCAGCCGC